ensembl:ncRNA lncRNA:CR44933 long non-coding RNA:CR44933
GCAUUCGAGUGCAUUUUUCACUCAACACGUUUCAAUCUCACUCGUCCUAACACCAGCUCUCUGGUUGUGUGAGUUUUAUAUCGGCGCUGAACUUGAAAAUUACUUUAUUAAUCAUUUAGGAAUACGCGCGCCUAUAAGAAGGCAUUUAUCAUCGGCAAGAAGCUGAGAAACGAAAUUAGGCGAAAUUUUUAAUUAAAUUAGAAUACGGUAUGGUGAUUAAUGAUUGUAUUGAUUUGGAGCUAAGGAUUUUCUUAGAAAUGAAGCAUUCUAGCCCCAACUGCAUUUCGACCAUAUCAAAUGAUCCGAUUCAGCGCCAUUUUGCCAAAAAGGAAAGGAGCGAAUUCGCAGGGAGAAAAGUGUGUGGGGAGCUGCAGUCCCAAAGCGCAAGUUGCGAUGGUCAUCAAUUAAAUCCAUCGCAGCAGCCAGCGUCCAACACCUCGGAGCGUCUCACCUUACUCGGCCUUCCCGUGGCGAGUGGAUGUGGCCCGCUCUACGGGUCCGCCAAUUAAUCAAAAUCGUCGCCGUGUGCAGUCGCCGGAGUCCGGAGUCGGAAUCGCAAUCGCAAUCGGAGUCGGUGGUGAAGCUGGGUGGCAACGGCGCGGAGUGGGAGUUGGGGGGCGUGGGGCUAAAGAAAUGUCGUUAACUUAAGUGUCCAAUUAAUUAAAAUCGCAUUUAACAGCCGCCAAGCUGCGAAAAGCCAUUAAGAUAGUUUGUCACAAAACACAUGAAUGCCCUCAACCAGCCCCAAGCUCCUUCUGUAUAUUUGCCCCCUUGUCCAACCUCCGGCUACUCAACCAAAAUGGCAACUCUGCUCCUUGAGGUUUCUGGAGCUCAUUUUGUCCCUCUUCCCAGUUUCGAGCCUUUGAAACUUCAUUUUGCCUCGGUCUUUUUGUUUCUUGUUUUUUCUCCAUAUCCUUCUUAAAGUGUGUGUUCCUUAUAAGCUCGUGAUGUUGUUGCCAUUGUGGCUUUCAUUUUUGGCCGUUUCAAGUUUGGUGUGGGCAAGUUUAUAAAUUUGAGCUGCUUGCUCAUGUGGUUGUCUGGUUGUUCGUUGUGGGUUUUGGAUUUUGGUUGCCCAGGCGAUUUCACACUCAACUUCUUCGUAAUAAGAUUAAUUUUGUGGGCAUUGCCACUAUCUACUUCGGAUCGUCUAAGACUCUUUUAAAUCUUUAAGGUCCAGCCAGCAAGGCAUCCUUAGGACUUAAAAUUCAUUUAUAUAUAUUUUCAUUUGAAAGGAGCU